rnacentral:rRNA from 1 species
AUGAAGUGCAUGAGUUGGAACUGUCGUGGGCUUGGGAACCCAUCGACAGUUCGAGAGCUUUGCAAGAUUGUAAAGCAAGAAGGUCCCUCCCUGCUCUUUGUGAUGGAAACGAAGAUCAGCGGAAAACGAGUGGAAAAAUUGAAGAAUGUGUUGGGUUUCAGUGGUUGUUUUGUUGUCGAUAGCAGCGGCUUAAGUGGCGGUGUUGGUUUGUUCUGGACUAAUGAUGUUGAAGUUGAUCUGAAGAACUAUAGCCGAGCACAUAUAGAUGUGCAAGUCAGA